rnacentral:lncRNA from 1 species
GUAACUAUUAGGAUGGAUUGGGAUUGGCCUAAGGCCCAAGCUUUUCUUUCUUUCAUUUUAGUUCUGUUUGUUUAUAUGUGCCUCUGUCCUCCUGCUUUUCUGCACCCACUGCUUGUCAUGGCUCUGCUGGUCACAGAGGAACUAAUUGGCCAUGGCAUUUCCUGCCUUAGUCAUCAGGCAUUUACUUCUUAGUCCUUCACAGCCUCCUGGCAGGAACUGGGAAGGUAAAUCUUCAAUUCUAAGCACCGCCCUGAGAACUCAUAGCUUAAAGUCUUGGAUACCAGGUGAUGAGACUCCCACUUCACCACUGGAUUCACCCAUUGGUGCUUUCAGAAUAUUUCCUUGCUUUGGUCUUCUGGGGAAAAACAGCAAGCAGAGAGACUCAUGCCAGAGUUCAUCCCUGUACACAAAAACUCACAAGUAUGUAUGGCUCUUCCUUUCGCUGUUUAUCACACUCCAAUUUUUGUUCUAUAACUAGGGUAUAUACUCACAAUGCUCACAGUGUCUUGCAAGUGUCGGUUUGCUUUUUCAUCAGACCAUUUCUGAGGAGAUGUCUAAGCAUGGACAGCACUGUGCUUUCUCUAAUGUGAGUGGGGCUGCUAUCAGCUCUCU